rnacentral:rRNA from 1 species
UGGGGAAUAUUGGACAAUGGGCGCAAGCCUGAUCCAGCCAUGCCGCGUGAGUGAUGAAGGCCCUAGGGUUGUAAAGCUCUUUCACCGGUGAAGAUAAUGACGGUAACCGGAGAAGAAGCCCCGGCUAACUUCGUGCCAGCAGCCGCGGUAAUACGAAGGGGGCUAGCGUUGUUCGGAUUUACUGGGCGUAAAGCGCACGUAGGCGGACUUUUAAGUCAGGGGUGAAAUCCCGGGGCUCAACCCCGGAACUGCCUUUGAUACGGGAAGUCUUGAGUAUGGUAGAGGUGAGUGGAAUUCCGAGUGUAGAGGUGAAAUUCGUAGAUAUUCGGAGGAACACCAGUGGCGAAGGCGGCUCACUGGACCAUUACUGACGCUGAGGUGCGAAAGCGUGGGGAGCAAACAGG